rnacentral:rRNA from 1 species
CAGCGCCACGGUAAUACAGAGGGUGCGAGCGUUAAUCGGAUUUACUGGGCGUAAAGCGUGCGUAGGCGGCUUUUUAAGUCGGAUGUGAAAUCCCUGAGCUUAACUUAGGAAUUGCAUUCGAUACUGGGAAGCUAGAGUAUGGGAGAGGAUGGUAGAAUUCCAGGUGUAGCGGUGAAAUGCGUAGAGAUCUGGAGGAAUACCGAUGGCGAAGGCAGCCAUCUGGCCUAAUACUGACGCUGAGGUACGAAAGCAUGGGGAGCAAACAGGAUUAGAUACCCCGGUAGUCCCUGUCUCUUAUACA